rnacentral:lncRNA from 10 species
GGGGUCUGGGGUGCACAACAGUGGGCAAGCCACCCUAUCCCUGUGGGUCUCUGUUUCUCUGUGAAAUGGGGGUCACGGGUUAGAGCAGGGUGCUUAGCCUAGGCCUGUUGGAUGGGUUUCAAGGCUGUUUGCAACUCCUGAAAUGGGGGUGUAUGCAUUUUUCUGUAUAGGGGGUCCAUAGUUGCCAUUAGAAACUCAGAAGGGGUGAGGCAUAGUGGCUUACGCCUGUAACCCCAGGACUCUGGGAGGCCAAGGCAGGAGGAUCACUUGAGCCCAGGAGUUCGAGACCAGCCUGGGCAACAUCGUGGGACCUGAUCUCUGUAAGAAGUCAAAAAAUUUAGCCAGGUGUGGUGGCUUGGUGACAUGAUGGCAUGCACCUGUAAUCCCAGCUACUCAGGAAGCUAAGGCAGGAGGAUUGCUUGAGCCCAGUAAUUUAUUUAUUUAUUAUUAUUAUUAUUAUUAUUUGAGAUGGAGUCUCGUUGUGUCACCAGGCUGUAGUGCAGUGGCACAAUCUCCGCUCACCGCAACCUCUACCUCCCAGGUUCAAGCGAUUCUUCUGCCUCAGCCUCCCCAGUAGCUAGGACUACAGGCACGUGCCACCAUGCCCAGCUAAUUUUUGUAUUUUUAGUAGAAACGGGGUUUCACCAUGUUGGCCAGGAUGGUCUCAAUCUCUUGACCUCGUGAUCCACCCACCUCAGCCUCCCAAAGUGCUGGGAUUACAAGCGUGAGCCACUGCCCCCAGCCUAUUUUUUUUUUUUUUUUUUUAGACAGAGUCUCACUCUGUUGCCCAAGCUGCAGUGCAAUGGUGUGAUCUCAGCUCACUUAACCUCUGCCUCCCAGAUUCAAGUGAUUCUCCUGCCUCAGCCUCCCAAGUAGCUGGCACUACAGGCACCCGCCUCCAUGCCCGGCUAAUUUUUGUAUUUUUUAGUAGAGACUAAAUGUAGUAGAGAAGUCUCUUUAGUAGAGACUUCGCCAUGUUGGUCAGGCUGGUAUUGAACCCCUGACCUCAAGUGAUCUGCCCUCCUCGGCCUCCCAAAGUGCUUGGAUUAUAGGUGUGAGCCACCGGGCCCGCCCUAGCCCAGGAAUUUGAGGCAGCAGGGAGCUAUGAUCAUGCCACUGCACUCCAUCCUAGGAGACAGAGUGAGCCCUAACUCUAAUUAAAAAAAAAAAAAAGGGAAACUCAGAAAGGCCCAUUGCCAAAAAUAGAUUCUUAAAACCUCAGAAUCAGAUGUCUCUUAGAACAUCCUCUGAGUUUGUAGAUCCUGAGUCAUUAAUGUGGCAAUCAUCAAGAUAUUCCCCAAGCCCCUGCUCUGUGCUAAGUACUGUACCGGGCUGGAAAUCAAGGGGAAUGAAGUGCUGAGCAAAAUACAAGCCCUUCCUCAUCUGGUCCCUUCCGAGCUUACUAUGAGCCACAUGCCUCAGGUACACCACAGUCAUCACAAGUCUCUAAGCACUCAGUGCUAUUUCUUACCUCUUACCUCUGCACACACUGUUGCCUCUUGGAAUUCUUUCCUUCUAUCUGCCUAAUGAACUUGUACUUAAUCUUAAGACUCAAGCUAAGCAUCACUUUCUUUGGGUCACCUUCACUCAUGAACUUUCAAUCCAGCAACCCCAAAGUUGGUCACACUCCCUUCAUAGCUAAAGACAGUGUUUUAUCAUGUGUGGUGGAGGGGAGGGGGUUUGCAUCAGCAGCGAGGUGUUAGUUCCUUGAGGGCAGGGCCAUGUCUUUUUCUUUCCUAUCUCCCAUUAGCUGGGCCCUUUUCACACAGUGGAAGCUAGGAAACAUUUAUUGAAUGAAUGAAUGAAUGAAUCAGUGACCCAGCUUCCAAGAAACAUCCUCUGAUUGGGAAGAUAGGAAGAUAAACCAAUAAUUAGAGUGCAUGGCUCACACCUGUAAUCCCAAUACUUUAGGAGGCUGAGGCAGGGGACCAUUAAGGCCAGGAGUUUGAGGCCAGCCUGGGCAACACAGCAAGACCCCAUCUCUACAAAAAAUAAAAAAAAAUUAACUGGACAUAGUGGUACACCCAGGUACUCAGGAAGCUGAGGUGGGAGGAUCACUUGAGCCCGGGAGGUUGAGGCUGCAGGGAUACAUGAUCACACCACUGCACUCCAGCCUAGGCAACAGAGUGAGAUCUUGUCUUAGAAACAAACAAACAACGAUUAAAAAAAAAAAAAAAAGGCCGGGCAUGGUGGCUCACACCUGUAAUCCCAGCACUUUGGGAGGCUGAGGCGGGCAGAUCACGAGGUCAGGAGUUCGAGACCAGCCUGUACAACAUGGUGAAACCCUGUCUCUACUAAAAAUCCAAAAAUUAGCUGGGCAUAAUGGCACAUGCCUGUAAUCCCAGCUACUCCGGGAGGUUGAAGCAGGAAAAUCGCUUGAACUUGGGAAGUGGAGGUUGCAGUGAGCUGAGAUUGUGCCAUUGCGCUCCAGCCUGGGUGACAGAGCAAGACUCUGUCUCAGGAAAAAAUAAAAAAUAAAAAUAAAAAAUUAAAAAAACAGUUUGCUAAGAGCUGUGUUAGAUGCUUCCAAGGCCACACAAGGGAACACCCCAGUCACCUCUUCGACUUCAUCCCUUUCCAUUCCCUCUCAUCUCUGCCUCAAUUGCAUUGGCCUCCCUUUUGAUCUUCCAGUAAGACACUGGGUGCACUCCUGACCCACAGCUCUCACGCUGGCCCUGGCCCUCCCCAGGCUGCUCUUUCUGCUCUGUGUGCCUUGUCCCCUCCCCCACUCCUUUGGUCAAAUAUCACCUUCUCAGUGAGGCCUUCCCUGGAGUCCUUCUUAAAGUUGUAACACUCCUGGCUCUGGCUAUCACAUCCCCUUUUCCUGAUGUAUCUCUUUUCCUGAUGUAUCUCUUUCUCUCUCUCUCUCUUUUUUUUUUUUUAAUAGAUGAGGUCUUGCUACAUUGCCCAGGCUGGCUUUGAACUUGAACUCCUGGGCUCUAACGAUGUUCCUGCCUUAGCCUCCCAAUGUGCUGGGAUUACAGUCAGGAGACACCACACCCAGCUUAUAUCGUUUCCUAAACAUCAUCAUUUGACUGCAUUUAUAUUUUAUUUUAUUUAUUUAUUUAUUUAUUUUGAGAUGGGGUCUCACUGUCACCCAGGUUGGAGUGCAGUGGUACAAUCUUGGCUCACUGCAACCUCCACCUCCCAUGCUCAGGUGAUCCUCCCACCUCAGUCUCCCGAGUAGCUGGGAACACAGGUGUGGGCCACCACACCUAGCUAAUUUUUUGUAUUUUUGGUAGAGAUGGGGUUACACCAUGUUGCCCAGACUAGACUCAAACUCCUGGCCUCAAGCUGUCCUCCCACCUUGGCCUCCCAAAGUGCUGGGAUUACAGGCCUGAGUCACUGCGCCAGGCUAGUUUAUAUUUUCUUAAGUGUAUGACUGAGUCCUCCCACUAGAAUGUAACCUCCUGAGGACAGAACUCUUGUUUUGUUCACUGCUAUUUUUGCAGUGCCUAGAACAAUACCUGGUGCAGUGCACUCACUCAGUAUUUGUCAAAUGAAAAAAUAUACCAAGAGGCUAGGCAGGGAAGGAGAUGAAGGAGAGAAAACAAAUAAUUCUGCCUGCCUGACUUCAGAGCUGAGCCUUGAAGUAUGACUUUGCUGAGUAAAGGAGUGGCAGAGAGGCCAGGCCAGGCCCAAGGACCUGAC